rnacentral:rRNA from 1 species
GACGAACGCUGGCGGCGUGCUUAACACAUGCAAGUCGAACGAAGUGGCGAACGGGUGAGUAACGCGUAAUCAACCUGCCCUUCAGAGGGGGACAACAGUUGGAAACGACUGCUAAUACCGCAUACUGAAGGAGGUGAUUGCGUCUGAUUAGCUAGUUGGGGGGGUAACGGCCCACCAAGGCGAUGAUCAGUAGCCGGUCGGAGAGGAUGAACAGCAACGAUGGGACUGAGACACAGCCCAGACUCCUGAGGGAGGCAGCAGUGGGGAAUCUUCCGAAAUGGGCGAAAGUCUGACGGAGCAACGCCGCGUGAGUGAUGACGGCUUUCGGGUUGUAAAGCUCUGUUAAUCGGGACGCGGUACCGGAAUAGAAAGCAACGGCUAACUACGUGCCAGCAGCCGCGGUAAUUC